rnacentral:rRNA from 1 species
CAAUAGCGUAUAUUAAAGUUGUUGCGGUUAAAAAGCUCGUAGUUGGAUUUCAGUUCUGGACUGACGGUUCACCGCCCGGUGCACACUGUCACGCUCCGAACAGCCACAACAGCCCGCUGGCUCGCACGGGGUGCUCUUCAUCGAGUGUCCCGCGUGGCCGGCAGAGUUUACUUUGAAAAAAUUAGAGUGCUCAAAGCAGGCUACACUUACGGCCUGAAUGCCUAUGCAUGGAAUAAUGGAAUAGGACCUCGGUUCUAUUUUGUCGGUUUUCUGAACCCGAGGUAAUGACUAAUAGGAACAGGCGGGGGCAUUCGUAUUGCGACGCUAGAGGUGAAAUUCUUGGACCGUCGCAAGACGAACUACUGCGAAAGCAUUUGCCAAGGAUGUUUUCAUUAAUCAAGAACGAAAGUUAGAGGUU